CACCGCCCGUCACAUCACGAAAGUGGGUUGCACUAGAAGUCUCCAGGCUAACCGCAAGGAGGCAGGGGCCCAAGGUGUGACUCAUGAUUGGGGUG
rnacentral:rRNA from 1 species